GGAAAGGCGCGCGAUACAGGGUGACAGCCCCGUACACAAAAAUGCACAUGCUGUGAGCUCGAUGAGUAGGGCGGGACACGUGGUAUCCUGUCUGAAUAUGGGGGGACCAUCCUCCAAGGCUAAAUACUCCUGACUGACCGAUAGUGAACCAGUACCGUGAGGGAAAGGCGAAAAGAACCCCGGCGAGGGGAGUGAAAAAGAACCUGAAACCGUGUACGUACAAGCAGUGGGAGCACGCUUAGGCGUGUGACUGCGUACCUUUUGUAUAAUGGGUCAGCGACUUAUAUUCUGUAGCAAGGUUAACCGAAUAGGGGAGCCGAAGGGAAACCGAGUCUUAACUGGGCGUUAAGUUGCAGGGUAUAGACCCGAAACCCGGUGAUCUAGCCAUGGGCAGGUUGAAGGUUGGGUAACACUAACUGGAGGACCGAACCGACUAAUGUUGAAAAAUUAGCGGAUGACUUGUGGCUGGGGGUGAAAGGCCAAUCAAACCGGGAGAUAGCUGGUUCUCCCCGAAAGCUAUUUAGGUAGCGCCUCGUGAAUUCAUCUCCGGGGGUAGAGCACUGUUUCGGCAAGGGGGUCAUCCCGACUUACCAACCCGAUGCAAACUGCGAAUACCGGAGAAUGUUAUCACGGGAGACACACGGCGGGUGCUAACGUCCGUCGUGAAGAGGGAAACAACCCAGACCGCCAGCUAAGGUCCCAAAGUCAUGGUUAAGUGGGAAACGAUGUGGGAAGGCCCAGACAGCCAGGAUGUUGGCUUAGAAGCAGCCAUCAUUUAAAGAAAGCGUAAUAGCUCACUGGUCGAGUCGGCCUGCGCGGAAGAUGUAACGGGGCUAAACCAUGCACCGAAGCUGCGGCAGCGACGCUGAUGCGUUGUUGGGUAGGGGAGCGUUCUGUAAGCCUGCGAAGGUGUGCUGUGAGGCAUGCUGGAGGUAUCAGAAGUGCGAAUGCUGACAUAAG
rnacentral:rRNA from 1 species